rnacentral:rRNA from 1 species
GAUCAUGGCUACAGGACGAACGCUGGCGGCAUGCCUAACACAUGCAAGUCGAACGGGGGUAGCAAUACCCUAGUGGCGAACGGGUGAGUAACACAUAAGCAAUCUGCCCUUCACAGGGGGAUAACAGCGGGAAACUGCUGCUAAUACCGCAUAAGACCACGGUACCGCAUGGUACAGGGGUAAAAACGAAUCAGUGGUGAAGGAUGAGCUUAUGUCCCAUUAGCUAGUUGGUGAGAUAACAGCCCACCAAGGCGACGAUGGGUAGCCGACCUGAGAGGGUGAUCGGCCACACUGGAACUGAGACACGGUCCAGACUCCUACGGGAGGCAGCAGUGGGGAAUAUUGGGCAAUGGAGGAAAAACCUCUUACCCAGCAAUGCCGCGUGAGUGAAGAAGGUCUUCGGAUUGUAAAGCUCUUUGAUUGGGGACGAAGAAAGUGACGGUACCCAAAGAACAAGCCCCGGCUAACUACGUGCCAGCCGCUGC